rnacentral:rRNA from 1 species
AUUGAACGCUGGCGGCAUGCCUUACACAUGCAAGUCGAACGGUAACAGGUCUUCGGAUGCUGACGAGUGGCGAACGGGUGAGUAAUACAUCGGAACGUGCCCGAUCGUGGGGGAUAACGAAGCGAAAGCUUUGCUAAUACCGCAUAAGAUCUACGGAUGAAAGCAGGGGACCGCAAGGCCUUGCGCGAACGGAGCGGCCGAUGGCAGAUCAGGUAGUUGGUGGGAUAAAAGCUUACCAAGCCGACGAUCUGUAGCUGGUCUGAGAGGACGACCAGCCACACUGGGACUGAGACACGGCCCAGACUCCUACGGGAGGCAGCAGUGGGGAAUUUUGGACAAUGGGCGAAAGCCUGAUCCAGCCAUGCCGCGUGCAGGAUGAAGGCCUUCGGGUUGUAAACUGCUUUUGUACGGAACGAAAAGACUCUGGUUAAUACCUGGGGUCCAUGACGGUACCGUAAGAAUAAGCACCGGCUAACUACGUG